AUGGUAGCGCGUCUGACUCCAGAUCAGAAGGUUGCGUGUUCGAUUCACGUCAGGUUCAGUUUUAAGUGUCUUCUGUAUUAAACGUUGAAGCUGAAGAAGACAAGUAUCGCUCAAAACUAAAGAAUAUCAGUUUUGAUAUACUACCAGUAUAUAUUUCGAGACCUGCAAAAGAAAUUCUGGAAGCUGAUUUUUAAUUUAUUUUUUUCAACUUUACACGAAAUCAUUUAAAAUAAUUGGAAACUGGAUUGAAUGACAAUGGAGCUAAGGCCCCCGAACACAAUCAACACAUGUUGGUCAUCAAUGCCCACAAGCUGUUCGAUGAAAUGUCUGAAAGAACAUAAAAGACAACAAAGCCCACGAAUUUUGGUACCCAGAGCAGCAAAAAACUUGGAGAAAUCUGGGCAUGGUCUACAAAAGUCAUCAAACAAAAACUUGGCUCAUAUACUAAGAACUGAGGCAGCCAUUCUACGUGUUGAAAGGAAAGCUGAUUCAAGGAAGUACACUCGCUUGUGGCCCAAAGCUGUUUUAGAAGCUUUGGAUGAUGCUAUCAAAGCGAAAAGAUGGCAGUCUGCUCUCAAAAUAUUUGAUCUUCUGCGUAAACAACACUGGUAUGAACCGAAAGGCCAAACAUACACAAAGCUACUGGUGAUGCUUGGCAAGUGCAGGCAACCUAAUCAAGCUAGUUUGCUUUUCGAGAUUAUGUUAUCAGAAGGCUUGCAGCCAACUAUUGAUGUUUAUACUGCGCUUUUGAGUGCUUAUGGGUUCAGUGGUCUCAUUGAUAAGGCGUUUCAGAUUAUUGAGGAUAUAAAGUCAUUCUCCGAGUGCAAACUUGAUGUGCAUACGUACUCUGUUCUGAUCAAUUGUUGCUUUAAAUACCGUCGAUUUGAUAGGGUAGAGCACAUCUUACAAGAAAUGUCGUACUUGGGAAUCCAGUGUAGCACUGUCACAUACAAUACUAUAAUUGAUGGAUAUGGAAAGGCUCAACUGUUUGAGCAGAUGGAGAGUUCAUUGACAAUCAUGAUUGAAAGUUGCACAUGCCUGCCGGACGUUUUCACGUUUAAUUCGGUUGUUGGAACUUAUGGUAACUGUGGACAAAUCGAAAAGAUGGAGAAAUGGUUUGAUGAAUUUCAACAUAUGGGAGUUAACCCGGACAUAAUAACGUUCAAUAUAUUGAUUCAAUCAUAUGGAAAAGCAGGCAUGUACGAGAAAAUGAGUUUAGUUAUGGAGUUUAUGGAGAAAAGAUUCGUCUCCCCAACUAUUGUUACGUUUAACAUAGUUAUCAAUGUAUUCAGGAGAGUAAAAAAUAUUGAUCAAAUGGAAGAAUUCUUCCUCAAGAUGAAGCAUCAAGGACUAAAGCCUAAUUCAAUCACUUAUUGCACUCUCAUCAGUGCUUAUUCUGAAGCAGGUCUUAUGCAUAAAGUUGAUUCGAUUAUGAGGCAAGUGGAAAAUACAGAUGUAAUUUUGGAUACUCCAUUCUUUAAUUCUGCUAUCACUGCCUAUGGAAGGGCUGGUAAUGUAGAUAAAAUGAGAGAGUUAUUCUCGGAAAUGAGGAAGAGAAGAUGUUUACCAGAUAAUAUCACUUUCAGUACAAUGAUUGAAGUCUACAAUGCUCUGAAUAUGGUUGAGGCUGCUCAAGAGUUGGAAAGUAAGAUGAUUAGUGCCACACCAAGGUCAGGUAUAUCUUAGAGUUGGCUUGGACUCGGAGAUCGACGUUCUGUUAAUCAAGGGUCCACCUCAAGACAUAAGAUGCAUCAUGAUUAACUUGACAUCCUGAACCGAAGAAGAAAGAGGCGUGAAAAAUUUUAGGUCCCACGUGUCAGUUCAUAACGGGUGAAAAAAGUAAAGGCCAGAAUUAAUCCUCCGGGGAGUUGUGGGGGUAAAGUUUGUGUACCCCAUUCGUAGCAUGCACUUCACUGCUUUUGACAAAACACAGCCGUUGGAUCUUUUUGAUGGUCCUGAUGCAGCCUUUUGUCCUAAUGGUCCUCUGAUUGCGAAGAAUACCCGAUCCUCAACUUACUUUCAUGGCCCAAAUUGUCAAUUACUUGUUUACUUUCUGUACCCUACAAUGGGCCCAAACAUCUUAAGACCUAAUUUGCACACUAUAGAUGAAUGAUAACUUGCGUUAAGACUUACUCCUUCCGACCCUUUUUAUCUUUUUAUCUGUCCAUUUUGGAAAAAAAAAACACAUACCAAGGAAUAAUUGAUUGUAUAAACUUUUUCAUUAAAUACCUCUAAUUAAUAUCUUGAAAAUACAAUACCCCUACUUUAUGUCUUGAAAACAUGAAGUCAACCAAGUUUUAAAUAAGUCAAACCUUGAAAAUUGAAAUUAUGGAGAUAUAUUUGAAAAACUAUCAUUAAAUUAGUUUUGAAAGUAUAAAUGGACAGAUAAAUAGGGACAAAUUUUUACUUCCAAAGUGGACAGAUAAAUAGGGACGGAGAGAGUAUUAAUCAAGGAAUACGUGUAUAUAUGUAUCUUUUCUUAAAAAUUGAGUGACUUAGGACAAGUCCAAUAAUAUUCUAGUCUUAUAAAUAUAAUAAAAGAAAUAUUCUACUGGUUUGAAGAGAUCAUCUUAAUAUAUCAAUUUCAGCAGUAUAAUUAUUAUUGUGCCUUAUUAUUAAAAUAGUAUAUAUAUUUAUUUUUGGAGGGAAAUGAAAAUAAGAUACAUAUAUACUCACAAUAAUCACAAUAAUAAAAAUAAUCUAAGAACUUAAUCGAAACUUAAAACAUGAUUGAUCCAGAUUUGUUAGACAAAAGAUAACUUAAAAAGUUUAAUGGGAUACUAAUGAUUAAUCUUAGAUUCUCUUCUACUCAUGGUAUUGAGGGAUUUUUUUUUGUUAGAAUGGGUAUCCAUUUAUAAGAAUAUUCAGCAAAAAAUUCAGGUGUUUUAUGUUAAAAAUAAAUAAUAUUUAAGAGAAAAACACUCUAAUUGGUAAACUUGAUAGACUUUUACAAGAUUACAUACAUCAACUGUCCAAAAAAAAUACGUUAUUUUUACAAUAACUAAAAAUAAUAAUAACAUAACAUUUUUAAAAUAUAGUCAAUUUUUAUAACCAAUAUCGUCUGAACUCAACUUUUUUUACAUAAUCGUUGUUUAAUACAUUUCUCAACAAUCAUUUUUAAUUAAGAUCGUUGAAAUCUGAUGCUAUUAUGAAAAAAUUUGAUUUUGUAAGAGUCUAAGAAGAUAAACUUAAAUAUCGUACACAUUCUCAUCUAUACUAGAUGAAAGAGUUACUAGGAGGGAAAGCAAAUUAACAUAAACGUCGAUAUCACGAAGAAACGAUUAAACAUGUUAAGGUUGACAAAAAAGACACCCUUUUUUUAUGGGGGGUAAAAAAGGGACAAUAUAUAGGAAGGCUUUUGAAGUUUGAAGCAACCGGCUCAAAAAAGAAAACACAAGGGCAAACAUUUUCAAACAAACAAAAGUUAAAAGAUUAAAGGGUCCCCUUAAAUAUAUGCAAAGGACACCAUGCUGCCUCGCUUUAAUAAAGAAGCUCAACUUUCAGGCACCGCAAACAGGACAAUAUAGCAACACUGCCCCAUCUAAGAUAUCAAUCCCAGUUCGUAUUCCAUCUUACGUAUUUUCCGGAUUUCAGAUUUCAAAUCGGAUACUAAUUUAGAAUCUUCAAGCUAGAGUUUGAAUUAAUUAAUAUAUGGAUAAAUGAUUGUCAGUUAAAUAAUUUAUAAAUUCUGGACCGCUAUAUGAAUAUCCGGCUAAGAUUAUAACAUUUUUUCUAGUACAUUAUCGUUUUUUAACCUCUAGACGGGAACACGUCUCGUGCUUAGAAAACACUAUACGGGGUCAACAGUUAAAAUUCAUCCAGCAAUCAGGAUUAUAAUAAUAAAUACACAAGACCGAUCUCUGGUUCUCGAGACACUUAAUUAAAAUCAGAUUUCAGACAUAUAUUUUUAUAGUUACAUAUUUUCAAAUUCAUAUAAAAUGAUUUCAAAUGAUUUCAAGAUAAGGCUCUAAAACUGUGAAGAUUUUUGACGUAAAUCACGUUCAUUUAUAAUCGGGAUAAUAAAUUCUGUUGGGUUGAAGUCAGGAUCGUGUUCGUUUAUAAUCGGGACCAUUUUGUACAUGCAAGCUUAAAUAUUAAUUCAAAGCAAGAACAUAUUAUUUUGUAAUUUCUGGAGAAGACCAAGACAUAUAGAUGAUUAAUUGUGAAAGUGCUCACUUAUUCUUUAGCUGCUUCUUUCACUAUCAUGUACUAGUGGUGACACUGUACAUUAAAGUGAUACAUUUGCAUGCGGGAAUAUACAAGAUUAGGUUUUAGCUUAGCUCUUCCGUCUCUGCACUCCGUAUAUAUACUGACAUUUCUGCACUAGUGCACAUAUAUAGAAACCCCAUUUCAUCCCACUUUUAUAAACACAUGCACCACCCUAUUGCUUUGCAUUCUGCAUAUGGACUUGGUUGCAGAUCACCAGCUCCAGCAUAUGCUGCAGCCUCAAUUUUCCGAGUCCUUUCGAGACGAGGGCUACUGGUUUAGGCUCAUUCGCAGUUUCAGUCUCAUGCAGAUGGUAAUCAGUGAAGAUGGUCAUGGCUGAUUCUUGAAGGAACUGCAACAGGGUUCUUGGCAGACAGCGAGAACCCUGAUGCACGCGUGAUUGACAGACAAGGAAGGGGAAUCAAGAGCACCUGGUCCGAGUACUAAAUUAGCUAAUUUGGUCUCUAGUAUAGUUAUAGAGUUUUGUUCCUAGUAGUUGCUAAGGAGAUUGACUCGUAUUUUUUCAGUUCUGGUUUGCUAGUUGUCGUAUACAGGGUUGUCGAGUUGGUAUUUGUGAUCAGAUAUGUAGCACUCACCACAUUCAUUUUUGGCCGAGAAAUAUUGACUAUGUUUCAAGGUUUUGAUAUGAAGUUGUAGCCUGAGAGCAGCUUAGUGUCGAUGUUUGAUGAGAAUGUAAUGUCUUAUGAA